GGGCGAGUGGUGGAACAGGUAGACACGCCGGACUUAAAAUCCGUCGCCCGCGAGGGCGUGAGGGUUCGAGUCCCUCCUCGCCCACCA
rnacentral:tRNA from 1 species